AAGAGGUGCACUGGAGAAUCAUCAGAAUUCAAAUUAUUUUUAUUUCGUUUUCCUGUCCACAGUCACAGGAUAAAAAAGGUGCUUCCCAAGGCUCCCACCAUGCCGACUUCCCUCUGAUCCAUGACCACAACGCUGUGCGUC
rnacentral:lncRNA from 12 species